AGGAUGUGCUGCCGGGUGUGAGGCACAGGACUGCAAAACUGAGCACUUUCUCUGAGCCAGAGCCGGUAUUGAAUGUAGAGACACAGAGAUGAACAAAGGUCCCAGAAGGGAGCGGACUGCACAGUAAGUGCGGAAACUGGCUAUCAUGGCUGUGGGACUGCCAAGUCUAAAAUCCACAAGGCAGGGCUGGAAACAAGCAGGAGUCGGUGCUACAGGCUUGAGAAGGCAUUUCUUCUUCCCCAGGAAACCCCAGUUUUUGCUCUUAAGGCCUUCAACUGAUUGGAUAAGGCCCACCCACACUACAAGAGGUAAUCUUUAUUUAAAUGAACUUAUUAUAGAUGUUAACCACAUCUACUGGAUACCUUCCCUGCCAUGCCUAGAUCAGUGUUUGAUCAACCACCUGGGCGCUAGGGCCUAGCCAAAUGGAUGCAGAAAAUUAACCAUCACAGAAGGCUCACCCCAGUGGGGUAUCCCUGAUCAGUCCCAUACGCUCUUCCUUCCCGGGUGCACACUGCUCUGGACUCCCUCUCAAGCUUCUCUUCCAACCACCCCCACCCGGCCACCGUACACACCCUGUGUCUGUCCAGGCCUCACAGGUGAGAUCCAGACACUAAAGCUCAGAGCCACAUCUGGAAUGAAGAGCUCUGAGUUCACAGCCUCCUACCCAGGGCGUCUCCCACGCAAGCUGGGGAGCUGCCUCCACGCGGCGCUGGCCCAGAUGUUUCCUCUCUUCCCUGGCAGGAGGCGAAUGGGACCUUGAAUUGUAAUCUUGGAAGAAGCUGCUGCAAGACACAGAUCUGAGCGGUCCUAGCUAAACUUCUUGGCACUACUGCCCCACUCCAGACCCAAAGAUCAGGGAGCAGGACAGGCCCCAGAGAGAGACCAGACUUGAGAUUUUCUUCUGAGAGCACCAAAAGAGUGAGGAUUAUCUUGGAAUUGCUGUAGAAUUCUGGUGGCAGAAUCACAGGCUCUCCAAGCUGAAAGGUCACUUAGAUGUUCCCCCACCCUCUGAAAUUCAUGAGAAUGUCACGUAUCACAGAACACUCCACCAGAAGGGUUUUUAAACAAAGUCUGGCAGUCGAAAAACUCAAGAGGACUGUUGGAGAUCCGACAAAAGCAACAUGACGUAAAUCUCUGGGCAAGGAGGCAGAAGCCUUGAUCACAUGAUGGCUCGGCUGCUGAUUUACCACUUGACCUUGAACAAAUCUUUCCUGGACGACCUUGAGCAAGCUUGCUCUCCAGGCACUGGUUUUCCCACCUGAAAACGAGGAGUGCGCUACUUGACUUGGAAAGUCUUCUCUGGUUGUUGUGACUCCCUGCCUCCCGAGUCUGGUAUCUAACAUGUUCUAGCUGCAUGACCUUGGACAUAUCACUUAACCUCCUUAACCUCUGUUUCAUUAUCUGCAAAAUGGGGGAAUCAUAAUCCCUGCCUUGCUCGUCUUGUAUACUUGCUGUGGGGAUGGAGUGAGAGGUGUGAGGUUACCCUGGGUGAAGUACAAAGUGCUAUUCACAUCUAAUGUAUUAUUGCAAGGUGAAAUAUCAUUGUAUGAUGUAUCUAGGGUAUCUGAAGCUGCACAAGCCCCUACAAGACCCAAUUUGUCCCCAAUUCACAGGGGACAAAGGGCACGGGGGUUAAAGGCUCUGGAGCCAGACUACCUGGGUUCGUGGCUUACCUCUGCCAAGUUUCCUCAUGAGUGAAAUGGAAUAAUAAUAGCUCAUGUGAAGCCCAGGGCAGAGCCUGGCGUGUGGCAUGGGCUCCAUCCACGUCGGUGAUUAUCGUGAUCAUUCCAUCAUGAAGCAAAGGAGGCAGGGUGGGGCCAUGAGAGGACCGGUGGCUUUUGAAUACACCAGACCCAGCUGGGUUCAAGUCUCAGUUCUACCAUUACCAGGUGAAUCAUACACGUGGCCACGUUCUACAUCCACUGUCUUCUUUUUUGCUCUCCUCUGAUGGCUCCUGGGUCCAGUGCUUGUCCAUUUUCCCUCUCUUUUGGGGCUGGACACUUGGUUACCCACGUUGAUUGAUUGAUUCAUGGACUGCUUGAUCCAGAAGAGAUGCCUGGAAAAUAUUGGAAUUCACUAGCAUGAAAGGCUCCUCUGUAUUUUAAUGUGUGGAUAAUUUGAAAGAUGUCUUUAAUCCUUUCUGGAAGUAUCUGCUAUAAAAUGGCAUAGAUGGACUAAAUACCAGUGCCCUUGCUUUGGGCUUGAAUUCCGUUUCUCUGUCUGUCUGUCUAUCCAUCAACUCUUUCUUUUACAACCACACUACUUGUAUCAUAUCAAUCAAAGUUCUGAUUGAAUGUAAUAAUGUGGACCUAAUUCAUAUGAAAGAGAAGACAAAAUAUAAUAAAUGCAGCAUUUGGUGGUCAAA